rnacentral:rRNA from 1 species
CGCGGCCUAUCAGCUUGUUGGUGGGGUAAUGGCCUACCAAGGCGACGACGGGUAGCCGGCCUGAGAGGGUGACCGGCCACACUGGGACUGAGACACGGCCCAGACUCCUACGGGAGGCAGCAGUGGGGAAUAUUGGACAAUGGGCGAAAGCCUGAUCCAGCAACGCCGCGUGAGGGAUGACGGCCUUCGGGUUGUAAACCUCUUUCACCUGUGACGAAGCGAAAGUGACGGUAGCAGGAGAAGAAGCGCCGGCUAACUACGUGCCAGCAGCCGCGGUAAUACGUAGGGCGCAAGCGUUGUCCGGAAUUAUUGGGCGUAAAGAGCUCGUAGGCGGUUUGUCGCGUCUGCUGUGAAAGCCCGGGGCUCAACCCCGGGUCUGCAGUGGGUACGGGCAGACUAGAGUGCAGUAGGGGAGACUGGAAUUCCUGGUGUAGCGGUGAAAUGCGCAGAUAUCAGGAGGAACACCGAUGGCGAAGGCGGGUCUCUGGGCUGUAACUGACGCUGAGGAGCGAAAGCAUGGGGAGCGAACAGGAUUAGAUACCCUGGUAGUCCAUGCCGUAAACGUUGGGCACUAGGUGUGGGGGACAUUCCACGUUUUCCGCGCCGUAGCUAACGCAUUAAGUGCCCCGCCUGGGGAGUACGG